CGGCACUUUGGCGGAGUGGUUAACGCGAUGCCCUGCUAUUUCCACGGGAAGUAUUUAGGCAUUUCCCUCGGGAGCGAGUGUUCGAAUCACUCAGGUGUCG
rnacentral:tRNA from 1 species